GAAUGAGGAAUUUCAUGUUAUGUGUCUCAGAUGGGUGACUAUUCUGCCUUAAAAAGUGACAAUUGUCAAAUGGUCUGAAAACCCUCUAAAUGCUGGAGAGGUAUUGGCCAGGUUUUGUUCCCCUCCACAGAGUCAUAUUACGAGCAAUAUGUACAAUGAAGAUGACUUCAAUGCUUUUCUUCUUUGUACGAUCACGUACCUAAAUGUUGAACGUCGAUCUGUUUUGGUCUUGUUCUCAGCUAGCUCGCUGUCCUCUCCGUCCUGGGGCUGUGAGAACUCAGAGUCCAAGUCCCUGGGGCCUUCUGUAAAUGUAGAGUCAGAAAUUCCAAGGGUACAAAUU